UACGUAGGGUGCAAGCGUUAAUCGGAAUUACUGGGCGUAAAGCGUGCGCAGGCGGCUUUGCAAGACAGAUGUGAAAUCCCCGGGCUUAACCUGGGAACUGCAUUUGUGACUGCAUGGCUGGAGUGCGGCAGAGGGGAUGGAAUUCCGGCGUGUAGCAGUGAAAUGCGUAGAUAUGCGGAGGAACACCGAUGGCGAAGGCAAUCCCUGGGCCUGCACUGACGCUCAUGCACGAAAGCGUGGGGAGCAAACAGG
rnacentral:rRNA from 1 species